GAGAGUCAAUGCUUUGGGGUUGGCCCUUUCUUUCCAUCCACCCCCAGCCAGCCCUCCACCCAGCGUCACCUCAUUCAGCAUCCUUUCCAGAGCAUCCAGGGCGCCCUUCCCUGCACCCCAUGUCCUUUUGGAUCUCUGCUCACUCCUCCUCGCACGCACUCAGUGGCACUUUCUUUUUUGGUAAGUGCUCACUGGUUUCAGGUUUGAGGGGACCUGGUUGCAUGAUACUUUGUCAACAAUCUUCAGAGGCUUCCUGUGUCACCCCAGCAAGUGAGGGCAGAAAAAAAAGUCUGACUUCCUUGGUCUGUGCUUUGCCUCCCUGGAGCCCUUAAUAGUCCCCGAUGGGCUGAAGGGAGAAGGAGCAGGUGUCAGUGCUGAGCCGGAAUGAGGGGAGGUGAAAAGCUUAAGGCUAAAGAACCCGGAUCUCUCUCUGCCCCCUUACCUCGGAGACUCCUUGGUGAAUAGGACAGGAGGGAGGACACUGUAAAAACCGAAAGGCUCAGAGAAACUGGGUUUUUAUUCUCCCAGGAAAUCUGGUGCCUUCUGAGGCUUACUGAGAAAACACAAUCUCUCCAUCCAUCCAUCCAUCCAUCCAUCCAUCCAUGCAUCCAUCCAUCCACGGCAUGCAUUGAGCUUUUGGGCCUAUGGUACUGGGAACACAAAGAUAGGACCCAGUGCUAGUCCUUAAGGCCCUUAAAGCUGAAUCAGAGAGUCAGGCUAGUGAACAGCCAGUUACUACAGAGCAGGAGAAAUGUCAGGAGAGAGGACAACAUGGGGCACUGCAGGACACAAACAGGAGGGGCUGGGGAGGCCAUAAGAGGCUUCUGGAACAGGGUCUAGGAGUUGAGUACUGAAGGACUCGCAGGAGUUAGCCAUGGGGAGUUAAGAAGAGGAAUCAGCACCUGUGAAACCAUGAAGGGAGACAACAGGGAGGGGGAAGGGAUCUAUACGGAAUUCGUCGUGAUUGGAGCAUUAUGUGCAAGAAACUAAAGAGGUGUCUAGAGAGGGUAGCGGGGACCAGAUCUUACAGGGUGGAUCUGAAAGGCUCUGUAAGAUUAUUUGGACUUGACUUUGGAGGUAGGGGAAUCUUAAAGGAUAUUAAGCAGAUGGGCAUUGUGGUGGGAUUAUCCUGUUAAGAAAUAUUAUUCUGGCUACUUUGGGGGAUGGGCCUAUAGGUGGACGUGGAAGGGACCAUAUAGGAGGUGGGGAGACAGAUGGGAAACUGUUGUGGUGGCCAGGCAGACACCAUGUAGACAUGCACCAAAAAGAGAGAGAGUGCUGAGAUAGAGUCAGAAUGUCCAACCUAGACCUGCAGGGUCUAGGGGGGAGGUCUGUGAGAUAUCUGCAGAGGAAAUACAGGGAGAUAUGAAUCUUCCUGCCUGGAGCUUGGGGGAUAGACAUGGGCUAGAUCCUCAGAGAGAUCUGGAAGUCUGUAUGGAUAAGUCCAUGGGUGAGAUUACCCUAGGGGCCAAGCAGCAGGAACACUUAGGAGCCCAGAAAAGAAGGAGCAGGUGGCAGAGGGAAAGGAGGAGGAAAUCAGUGGAGGAAGGCCCAGGAGUGCCAAGGCAGCCCCGGGGUCAGGAGAAGAGUUCUGUGAACUCAGGACAAGUCAGGUCCUUGGUAUACAGGAGGGAAAAGAAUUUCAGCACAUGCCAGUCAGAGAACAGACAGAUGAGGAAAGCAGAUGGGGGGAAGGUAUGCUAUCUCCAGGGAGAGAUACCGUUUGGAGUAAAACAGGAAAUAAAACUUUCAGGGGAGAAUGCCAGCCAUCUUGAGGGUGAGAAACUUUUGGGGUAAACCAUAUUCAAGAGAGAAUAUGGGUCAUCUCCAGAGGAUGAGAUAGCCACUCACUGGUCUGGGCUGUUAAUAUUUAUAGAGGGACAGUAGCUAGGGGCUGGACUAGGAGUCCGAGUGGACUUCCCCACUUUUGCUCCUUGUUCUAGCACUUGCAUAUUGCCUUCCUUACUUUUUGCAGGCAGGGGCAUGGGUCAAGGGCACAGGCUAUGUUGCUCAGGAAUGCCUGCUUGGCUGAAAGCAAAAGUUUUGCUUUAUUCCAAGGUUCAUGGGCAUUUUCUUCAUUCCAAUGGCUCAUUGCUCAUGGGUGCUUCUCUUUGGAGACUCAGUCUUUCUUUUUCUAUACCCCCCCCCCAUCAUAUCUCAAGGUGACACUGGAUGUGUCAUUGGAGGUAGCAACAGGGAGGCAAAGUUUCAGUGGAGCAGUAUUGGGCAGAGGCUGUGCCCCAUGGGUGGAGUACUAAGGAAAUGAGGAGGUGGAAGAGGAACCCUUUAAAGAAAUUUGAAUAUAAAAGAAAUGAUGAAAAUAGAUAAAGGAGAAGGUAAUUAUUCAAAAGGUGUUUCAUUUGUUUGAGGUUGUUCAUUUUAACAUGGAAAGAACCUUAUGGAGGAAAAUGAGCACAAAAUGAGUACUUGAAGAUUCAGGAAAAAUAAGGGGAGAGGAUUCCUGGAGGGAGGGAGUCAGAAGGAGAUUCAGAGCACAGGUACAAUAUGCUCGGAUAAGACUUGGUGCUCGUCUUUGAUGAGAGGGAGGAUGGACUAGGAUUGGCUUUGUCUGAGAGGGAAGGGGCUGGUGGAGGUCAAGUGUCUUAGUCCAUUUUGUGUUAUUCUAAGAGAAUGCUCAACACUGGACAAUUUAUAAAGAUCAGACAUUUGAUUGGCUCACGGCCCUGCAAGCUGGGAUGUCUGAGAGCAUGGGACGGGAUCUGGUGAGGCAGAAUCCAUGGCAGAAGAUGGACGUGCAAAAAAGGACCCAAAGCUCACUUUUAUAACAAGUCCACUCUUUUUUUUAAUUUAUUUUUUUUAGUAUUUGGCGGACACAACAUCUUUGUCUGUAUGUGGUGCUGAGGAUCGAACCCGGGCCGCACGCAUGCCAGGCGAGCGUGCUACGGCUUGAGCCACAUCCCCAGCCCCACAAGUCCACUCUUGUAGUGACUAACCAGCUCCCCCCAAUAACAUUAAUCCAUUCUUGAGGUCUCCACCCUCCUGACCUACUCACCUCAGUAGGCCCCGCCUCCAGACACUGUUGCCCUGGGGAUUACAUUUCUGACAUAACAACUUUGGGGGACUCCUUCAAAACACAGCCUGAGAGGACUUGGGAAUCUGGGGUGGAAUGAGCUUCACUGAGACCAGCUGAACUCUGUACAGAGCCUGGCGAGAAGGAAGGACACGGUAAUACUUCCAGCACUCAUGGCUGGGUGAUUUUCUCCAUCAGGGUCCUAGAGACUAAGUAAAAGAGUGAGGAGGCCACCAGGUGGGACUCUGCUGGAGAAGGAGAGUGACAGCAGGAUGAGAGUUAUCGGAGUUGAAAAUUUCAUAAGAAAACACUUCAUGCAACGACCAAGGGUUCUGAAUUAACCAUUGGCAGAACUGAGGAGAAGAGGAUGCUAAUAGGUUGGGAGAAAAGAGAGGGAUAGAGGGAGGGAGAAGGUGACAGUAACGUGCCAGAGGUCAUGUGUGUGGCAUUUGUUUGAAGGACAGGGUGAAGAGUGGGAUGACUGAGUUUAAAAUUUCCAAGAGUAGCAUUUCCAGGUCCUGUCAAAGGCUAGCAUGUGGUCCUAAUUGGGGUGCCUGAGUGAAACCAGGGUGUGGGAAUCUGAAGGUGAAGCAGUCCAAGGUUUUGGGUGGAUGGGUCACAGGAGCUGGACAUCAGUGGUGAUUCCUGGACCAAGGGAGAAGCCUGAGAGCCAGGUGUCAAGGCUUUUAUGAUCUGGGAGAGAUCAGGUUGUUGACGGACGGUCAAAUGGGGAAGGGAAGCUGGUCCCAGGAGUCUCAUGAGAGCUAGGUUUUUGUAGGAGGGUGGUCACUCUGGGGGAGGGAUGGGGACAAUAAGCAGUCACCAUUUGAAAGGGCUGCAGGUUGUUAUGCCUGCAGAGGAGAGAGAGGUUUCCUUAGGUGAGGAGUGCAGGAGCACCAUCAGGCAGCUGAGGGUCCAGGUGCAGGGGUGGGUCCAGAAGAGAGGAGAACAGUUGGAAGGGGAGAGAAAGCCCUGAUUAGCGAGGCAUGAGGGGAGGGGUGAGGCAGACCUGGCAGCAGGUGGGAGGGCCUGGUGUGCUGCCUUCCUUCCUGAAGGAUUUCCCCUGCUUCUCCAGCCAGUCCCUCUCUUCCUCGUUGUUCUCUAUUCCCACAGUCAAAACAAGACACUUGUGGUGGUAUUCCAGCUGUGGCCUGCCAAUAGCCACUGUGGCUCUGAGAGCUGCAGAAGAAAUGCUGAGCCCCAUAUGGAGAUGGCCCUGAUUCAGCCUCAGAGCGCCUGACCUCGGGACAGUCCGUCUGCUGCCUGGGUUCCCCAUUCUCUGCUCACCCUGAGGUUUUGCUCUGUUGAGACCCAAAAAAAAAUGGAUGAGCAGCUCUGAGAGGAGGUCUUGUCAUGUUCUAGAUACUGGAGGUUGAGCCGGAGGAGAUGCGUCAAGAGGCCUCCAGAUCUGGGCCAGCCUUAGGCUAGUUGAGCUGGAGAAACUUACCUGAGGACAGGUAGCUAGAAAGUGGCCAAGACAAAAUGGAAAUUGACCUGCAGGACAGCCCAUUUACCCAGAUGUUGCGGUUCACUGAAAGCUUGAAUUUACAAGAUUUCUUAUUCUGCUGCAUUUAAAAUACAUAUCUACUAUGUGACCCUGGGAAAGUGUUAUGGUUUGGAUAUGAGGUUCCCCAAAUGCUCCCAUGUGAAUGCAGGAAUGUUCAGAGGUGAAAUGAAUGAAUUAUGAGAGUUGUGACCUAAUCAACCCACCUUAGUUUGAAGCAAUUUCCCUCCACCAUGCCCUUCCACCAUGAUAUUCUGCCUCACCUUGGACCCAGGACAAUGGAGUGGCUGACCAUGGACUGAAUCUCUGAAACCAUGAGCCCAAAUAAACAUUCCUCCUCUACACUGUUCUUGCUGGAUAUUUUGGUCACAGCAACAAAAAUCUAACACAGAACUGCACUAUCAGCCUCAGUUUCCCUCUCUGAAUAGUAAGAGGUUGAGCUAGAGUGGUGGGUUUUCUACGGUGGGGGUGGAACCACUAUGAUUUGGUGGAAGAGCUGAGGGAUCGUGGGUGUGUGUCACAGGGAACCUGAGAAGGGAUGACUCCUGGCUCCACCUUGGUGUCCACCUGAGCAUCUAUCUAUCCUUGGACCUGCCUGAAUCCUGUGAUUUUAUGUGAGAUUUUUGUUUGUAAAGGAUUCUGUUGCCUAAAACAGUGUUAACAUUAGUGAUCUUGCCUAACCUGGACCCUGCACAAUGUUUUGGUUCACUGAAAGCUUAGUUUACCUUUAUAAAGGUGUUAUUUACCUUUAUGUGCUAUAGGGCAUCCCUGGAAGUUUGUCCCUCCUUGCACCAAUUUCAAUGCCUACGCACUUGGUAGCACACAGGCAUUCUGGGACCUCUCUGCACUGUACCUGGUGAUAACCUGAUGCUCUUUGGCAGUAAUAGCUUUACUAAUGUGGUUUUGAUGGGCCGAGGGCAUCCGUGCUCCUUGAGAUCCUCCAUGAUGAAUCACAUCCUGAGUCUAGCAAGUAGAACAGACAGGUUCUUUAGCCAAGGGGAAAAGCCUGGGUCUGUUCUUCAUCACCUAGCACCAGCUGGAAUCCCUUGUGGCUGGUCUGGCAGCUGUGAAGGAUCACUUGGCCACCAGGAAGCCUUCCCAGCUGGGACUUUUCUGAGAAUCUGUGCCAGAGACACUACAUCUGUGAGUCACCACCGGGGGGGUGGGGGAAACCCAGCUGCUCAGCUCAGCCCCAGCCCCAGCCCCAGAGGCUACAAGAAAGGGCCAGAAGGCAGAGGGAGAAUAGAAGAGAGGCCACUUUGCUUUUCUCAGUUUCCACCAGUUCACCAGAUUUGCAGUUCCUUAUUUCACAAGGGAAGUUGGGAGGUGGGAUUGAAACCGAAGGAGCUGCCCACUUUGCAGUGAGUGAAGCUCAUUUUCGUUGAGGGUGGAGACUUUGGGCUGUGCUAUCAGAGUUGCUCCUCUGACCCGGGAGUCCUCAGCUUUUUUCGCAGUCUAUAUGAAGUAAAGGUCAGGCUUGUAGUCUACACACGUGGAUGUUCUGGGCAGUGAAAAUUUCAGUACAGGAAACAGAGAUGAAUCCUCCACUAGGCAUGAUGAAUCAUGGGAAAAUCCUCCAAAUAUUGGGAAAGAGGUACUGGAGAAUGAGGUUUGUUUUAUGAUUCAGUAAGUUGCAUGCUUGGUGCUGUGGACUGUCUUCUCUGAAGGAAAGCUCAGCCUCCUGUGGGUUCACAAGCCAUAGGUGUUAAAGGGAUGACCCUGAAGGAAGCCCAGUGACUUUGGACUUCAUGUUCAGAUGAGCCCUGGUGGGCUGAGAGCCUGCCUUCCUCUGCAUGCACAGAGCAGGCCUGGAGGACAUGUCCAAAAAGUAGAUCUUGGCAGUCAUGUGAUCAGGCAAGAUGUGUUGGAGCAUGCUUGGAAUUGUGGGGCAAGAUGGAAAAGGUCCUGCAAACUGGGCCAAGAGAAUGCUUCAGGGCUAGGCAUGCUCAAUCCAAGAAGAGGAUGCGAAGAUGGUGUUUGAGAAUCUGUUGCCUCAGAUGGCAGAGCUGAGGCCAGUAGAUGGAAUUGAUGGGAAGAAUACUGUUCAUCAAAGAAUGAAUCUCUCUGAUCAUUUUAAGACAGUAAAGUCCAAAGGUUAAGACCCCAAGCUCUGGAAUUGAGUUGCACUGGGGCAAACAUCAGGAAUCCCGCCCACUGAGGUGGUUAUGAGAUCCACCCAUUGGUGGCCUGCUCUGGGACUUUCAAAGAUUGCACUCACCACCAACACAAAUUGGGAGACUACGCUCUUACCAAUCCAUAUUCAUAGCCUCUCUUGAAAAGAUUGAAGACCUGAUCACCUAAGUUCACAUUCUGCCAUGAAACAAUAAACAGGAUCUGGUGGGGCAGUUGCCUCCUCCGAAUAAGAAAAUUGUACCUCUGUUCACCACCAGUGCCACCUCCCUGCACGUUUCUUACUCCUGCAUAGUUUCACUGAUGCCCAGAUGUCUGGCCUCUGUACAUAUUGUAGUUUGCAACCCUGUUCUAGUCAAGCUUGCAGCAUUUCAAUUCUGGGUUUGCCAUCUUGUGAACUCAGACAAGAAGUCAACUUAAUGUAAGACACAGUUUCUUUUUCUGAAUGUGGAAUAGGAACAAUAUUUACCUUGUAGGAUUAGAGAACGCAUGGAUGGUGGAAGAGGUGGUAGCACAGGGUGAGGCCUGGGGUAGGGCUCACCCAUUCUUGGCUGCCAGGGAGCCGUCCAGUAGCAGAGAGGGUCAUCUCAUAAAGACUUGUGGGCUCCGUUAAUGACACCAAGACUAGAGACAGUAUAACCUGGCAGAAGCUAGGACCACAGAGAGUGAGAGACAGCCACCAAGAAUCUCUGAAAUACAUGGCAUGGGUCAAUUCUCCCUGGACCCUUCCCGAUGACCAAGUCAAAGGUGUUGGUGCAGGGCUGCUCUUGAUGCUCAAAAAUCAGAUUUAAUCUGGAAGGAUGUUUAGUAGGAAAGAAUGUGCCACGUAGAGUCCGUGCAUCUACGUGGCAGCUGAAGCACACUCAGGGUGAAGUGGGGCUUCCAGCCCUGGCUGACUGGGAAGUGGGAGCAUUUCCUGCCCCUUGCUUCUCUGCUGCAGGACUGCUUUGUGUUCACUGUCAGCACUUCCUACCUUUAGAACUGGCAUCUGCUCAUCAGUCGGCUCUGCAGGCUGAGAGCCACAAGGCAGCCUAACCCCUACCUGUACCUUAGUGGGUGAUAGAGUGUUCCAGCAUCUAGGGACCUGAUUGAACUCGAGGUCUGCCCCUCCAUGCAGCCUGGGUGGCAUGGGUGCCCUUCGGGUGGUCUGAACCCAGCCCCAUAAGAGACUUCUGUGGCUGGUUCCCACUGGGCCCUGAGAAGCCCUCUGCUGGAAUUGCUUGGAGUGACUGAUUCAUGUACUUCCUGGCUCUGGGAGCAGAGUCUGGAGUCUGGAUGCUGAGUUAAGAGCAGACACAUCCUAACACUCAGGGAGUCAUUAGAGAAGAGGAAGCAGGGGAUCUACAGGUCUUGAACCCAGGGGUGGGUGGCCUGGUGUGCCACACAUGCUGGGCACAAACUUGGAUGAGAAAGGGAAGGGUCGCCAGUUCUGGAGGCCACAGGAAGGCAGCCUGCCAGAAUCUGAGAAUGGUGCUAUAAAGACAUGGAUGCCAGGAACUGGCAAACGAAGUGGGUGAGUUGAAGGAGCUGGGACUUUCGCACUCUGAAUAUUUCCCUCUUCUUCUCCACUUCUCUCUUUUUCCUCCCCUUUCCUCUUUGGCCCUGACACCUAAAUAUAUGACAACCAGAGAGCAGCUGUCAAUAACCAGCCCACCUGCCUCUGCCCUUGGUGAUGUUUAUGUCUCCCCGUAUAGCUGACUGAUGAGGGGCUUUGAGAAGCAGGAGGCUUGUGCUCGUCCAGGGCCUGCCCUCCCUGCACAAAAUCCUCACUGGCAGCCCGAAUUCUACAGACUUCAGGGCUCAAGCUUUGGGCCUGUGCUUGAGAAGAUUGGCCUCUUUGGAAAAGCUUUUUAGCCUCUGCCCUCUGGGCACCUGUCUCUGAGGGACAGUUUCUCAUUUAGCCAUUAGCCUUUGCAUUGAACCUCUACAGCUGCUGGGUUACUAUCUAUCACAAGCCAUGUCUGAUGACUCUUGGCUUGUGUCUGAGAAGCUGGAGAGCUGUUCAGACAGUUAAGUUUACAUUAAGUAUUAGAUCAGAGAGGGCUGCACAUACUUCAUAGCAUGACCUCAUUUGGAUGGAUAUUUAUUUGCUGUUCUCCUGGUUCCCCCCAAUUAAUAAUUGAGUAAAAUCCUGUUUUGACAUUCAGAGCUGAUUUGCUUACAUUCUGCGGAAGUGCACCUGCUCCGUGAGGGAGUGGGUGUGUGUCAGGAGGCUGGGAGGAGUGGGGGCAGACGGCAGAAGCAUUAAAAGGGAGGUAGGGGUUGCACGCUGAUUUAUCCAAGAAAUUCUAUUCAGUCCUGAAAGUGUGGGUCACCUACUAUGAUGAGCCCUGGAUUCGAGGGCAGUGUGAGAAUAAAGUCAUGGAAAGUUCUAUCUUCUCUCAGAAAGUUAUGCUGGAAAUUACUAAUAAAUCUAAGCAGCAGAUGCAAACAGAGGUUGCUACUCCCACCCCCAAACCCAACCCCAUUCCACUGCUCACACACUAACAUUGGUUUGGUCAAACACAUGAAGACCAACCUGGGCUCUGGGUUUUGAGAUUUGCACCAUCAAAAUCUACAAGGAAGUCUCCCCGGAUUGAAUCUGCAUAUCUUUAUAGCAUAGUGGUGGGAGCCCACAGCUCUAGUGCUGCGUGGGAAUCUGAUUCUGUCCAUGCUAGCUGUUUGAGCUUGGAAAUACCACCUGAAUGCUCAGUGCUUAGGUUUCCUCAUCUGUAAAAGGGGAUUGAAGUGCCUAUUUCAUAGAGUUGCUAAGAAGUUUAAAGAAAUUAAAAUAUGUCUGUUCUUCUGACAGUGCCUGGAACACAGACAGGGCUCAGUAGCUAUCACCAUUUUUCCAAAGAUCUGACCCAUUUGUCACUGUUGGCAGAGGCAAACAGCAGAUGUCCAGGUCAUAGGAGAAAACAGACACCCAAAUAAGUUAUAAGGAAGAGAAUAUUUUCCUGAUUUAAAGAGAGGAAGAGGUCUUGGAAACGUGAUGGUUCCUAGGCUGAGACCCAAUUCCAUCUAAUCCAUCAAAUGAAUAAUGAGGAUCUGCCAUGUGUAAGGCUUGGGCAGCUGUUAGGAAGAGAUGCUUGAGGCAUUGAGACCUUAUCCUAUUACAGGAGGUGAAAUUCAUAUAAAAACUAAGAGUGCAGCUUGAUAAAUACCUCAACAAUUUAGGAAAUUGUGUUAGCUUUCUGUCACUGUGACAAAAUCAGAGAUAAUCAACUUAAGAAGAGGAGAGGUUUAUUUUGGUUCACAGUUUUGCAGUCAGUCCAUAGUUGCUUUUGGGUAAAACAGUACAUCAUGGUGGGCGUGCAUGAUGGGGGAAACUUCUUGUUUCAAGACAGCUGGGAGGCAAGGAGAAAGAGAGAGAGAAAGGGGCCAGAGUCUCACUAUUUCUUUCAAGGGCAUGCCCCCGGUGACCUAGCUUCCUCUCACUAGGCCCCACCUCUUAAAGAUGCCACCACCUCUUUUAAUGCUGAAAGAUGACAACCUGUGGCCUUUGGGGGACAUUUCAGAUCCAAACUAUAGCAGAAAACUCAUUAAAUCAUGGGUGGGGCGGUGAGGAAACCCCUCCUGUGGGUCAGAGAAGAAGGUAUUAAGAGUAGCAUGAUGUGUAACUAAUUAAAACAAAUAAAAAAAGAGUAGCAUGAAUCAGAAUGGGGAGACAACGAAGCUUGGCAUGUGUUUGAAAAUGGAGUGGAGUCAGACCAGCAGAGAAGGGUUGCUUUGGGCUACCAAUGGAGCAUGUGGGAUGCAAAGUCAGGCAUUUCAUCAACAGGCAAAGGAAGGUCACUCGAGAUUUUCUGAACAAGCUAUAAGAAUGUGGCAGUAGAAUGUCUUUAUAUUUUAAGACUAAUAGGAUAUCGUGGGUGAGGAAGAUGGAGGAAUCAAAGAUGACGGUAUAGGUGUGGUUUUUUUUUUUUUUAAUUGUUGUUUGGUUUGGUCAUUGCUGAUGUUUUCUUUCUUUUUGUUUUUGUUUUUUUCCAGGGUGACUAAAACCACAGUGGUAUCUGCUAGGAACAGGGAUAUCAGAAGAAGGGGAUGCUUCAAUGGAAGGAAAAAAAUGCUUUGCUUGGACAGCUUGGAUGAGAAGUGCCAACAAGUCAUCCCCGUGGCAGUGACUGGCAGUUUGCUGGAAGUGGCGGAGGAGCUAAAGAGAGAGGCGAUGGGUUAAAAUAUGGCUUUGGGGAGUUAGCUACAAAGAGAGUCCAACCAUUGGGAUGUGUGCAAUAACUUGUGAAGAACUGCAGAAGUAGAGGAGUGGGGGGCUGAACCUUAGAGAUGGGACACCAAGGGGAAAGGCAAAUCAAGAGGAGCCAGAGGAAGAUGAAAGAGGAACAAUUGCUCAUGAGGGGAAAGCAAGACCGUUGGGCAUCGUGGAAGCCAUGAUGAUAUGGAGAAGUCCAAGUGAAGGAGACAUGGGGAAGGACCGCCUGGAAUCUGCUGGUUACAUCUGACCGCCUCUGCAUGGGGUUCCGGGAUGGGCAGAGAACAUGGCAGUGCAAGGAAGAGGUAUCUCAAAGGACUGUGGGAACACCUGAGAGGCUUGUGGAAAUAAGAGGAGAGAUGAGCCUCUAAGCUCCCCAGGGCCUGUCAGUCUUCCUGUUGCAUAAACUAAGUUCAGAAAAGAGAACUAGAGGAAGAGGUUGGUUAGUUGCCAGAUGCCAGGAAAUUAAGAAGUAGAUGUUAGUAGCAUGGAGAAGAGGAGAGGGCCUAUAUAAACCAAUCCCUAAGAAAACUAAGAAUACUAUAAAAUAGAAUUAUCUGAUUACAAACAUGAGUUGUUGAAAAUAUUUUAAUACGAAACAUUUAUUCUUGAGGUAAACAUCUUAGAUGAUAUAAGUGUAUUUGAAAAGUCAGGCAAAAGUUGUGAAGUGGAAGUCUCACAGGAAUCUAACUGCACGACCCUCGCCAUGUGACUUUCUGUGAGUUGCUGACUCAUCUUUGUCUCAGAUUCUAUCGGCAUAAUUCACAUAGUAACGCUUCCCAAGGUGGUUGUGUGACUGCAAGGACUACAUGAGGCAUUUAGAAAUCUGAAUGCAUGAGAGAUAUUAUCCUGGUACCCUGCACACAGUAGUAAGUAGGUGCUCAGUAAAUAUUAACUAUCACGACGACAUGGAUUUUCUCAGAUCCUCAGUGGGAGUCGUUGGGUAGUCUGGGCUCUGGAAUUUAUCUGGGAAGAUGUUCAAAAAUUUUCUUCAAAUAGAUAAGGAAAGCUGAUGUAGAAGUCAAAGAUUGUGUGUAACUAAGCAAAAGAGCUAUGAGAAGAGAAAAGAAAGAGGGGACUGGGAUGCAACAGAAGUGUGUGUGUGUGUGUGUGUGUGUGUAUUUAGGGGGAGAAGACAAUAACAAAGCUAGGGAAAAGGCAGCACUUUGUGCCGGGGUGGGGCGAGGGGAAGUGUGUGGGUUUCAUGGCACAGUUUCGUGGUUGACAUUAGCAUAGGAAACUCUCCAAGUCGUGGCUUCACACUUUGCUGUUAUGAAUAUCAGAGCCUUUACCAACCCCCUCAGUCAAAGCCACAGAGUAGUCCAGAACCACAGGUUCUUUCACUACAGCUUUGUAGCCAGUUUGCCCAAAUUAGUGACUAUCUUGCCCAGCCCCACCCCCACUCCUCAGAAAACAACCUGAUGGAAUACUGAGAAUAUCAGAUCAAGAGAAUCGAUGCACCAUUCAAAUGUGUGGCCUGUGUUCUCUGAGCCUCUAGUGAUCUUAUCUGAAAUGAUGACCUAGUACUUACCUUUUCGAACGUCUUAGAGAUUGAAUAAGUAAUACGUAAAUGUUUGGUAACCUGAAAAGUGCUGAAUGCAUGUUAUCUUUUUGUCCUAGUUUCCCUUAAUAAUUUAUUCUGGGUUCGUUUCAUGUGAAUUUAUCUAAACGCCUUUGAAACCUGUUUACAACUGUAAUCUGUAUCACAUUUUGGAUAAUGAACUCCAUAAAUUGACUACUUCUUGUCUUAGCUUGUCUUUUGGUUGCUAUAAUCGAAUUUCAAAGACAAGAGUAAUUUACAGAGGAUAAAGGUUUAUGCCUCUCAUGGUGGUUCUGAAGGCUGGGGAGUUCAACGCUGAACAGCUGCAUCUAGCAAGCCCCCUUCUUGCGGGUGGGGACCUGGAGAGCAUCCCAGGGCAAGAGAGGACAUCCCCUAGCUCUGCG
rnacentral:lncRNA from 1 species